rnacentral:rRNA from 1 species
UACCAGCACCCCGAGUGGUCGGGACGAUUAUUGGGCCUAAAGCAUCCGUAGCCGGUCCUACAAGUCUUCCGUUUAAAUCCACCUGCUUAACAGAUGGGCUGCGGAAGAUACUAUAGGGCUAGGAGGCGGGAGAGGCAAGCGGUACUCAGUGGGUAGGGGUAAAAUCCUCUGAUCCAUUGAAGACCACCAGUGGCGAAGGCGGCUUGCCAGAACGCGCUCGACGGUGAGGGAUGAAAGCUGGGGGAGCAAACCGG